GAACAUGUAGUCUAAUGAUUACAAUGUCUGACUUGGGCUUGGAACAAUGAGGGUUCAAGUCCCUCCGUGGUUA
rnacentral:tRNA from 2 species